GAGGGCACAGCUCAGCGGUAGAGCUCAUGCUUAGCAUGCACGAGGUCCUGGGUUCAAUCCCCAGUACCUCCA
rnacentral:tRNA from 1 species